rnacentral:pre_miRNA from 14 species
UUUUUAACUUCAAGUGAAAAAUCCCACGCAGAGAGACCCUUACUCAAGUCUUGGGAAAUCGCGGACCCCAGACACAGAGAGACCA